GUUUCACCUUCCCCUCCAGCUGUGGGCAGUGCGGGGCAGCGUCAGGACCCACCGCUGCCACGGCGGCGUCACCGCAUCGCCCGGGGUGAGGGUGGG
rnacentral:miRNA from 12 species